rnacentral:rRNA from 1 species
UUCCGGUUGAUCCUGCGGAGGUCACUGCUAUCGGGGUUCCGAUUAAGCCAUGCGAGUUGAGAGGGUUUAGACCCUCGGCGGACUGCUCAGUAACACGUGGAUAACCUGCCCUAAGGUGGAGGAUAACCCCGGGAAACUGGGGAUAAUACUCCAUAGAUCAGAGUAACUGGAAUGUUUUCUGGUCGAAAGUUCCGGCGCCUUAGGAUGGAUCUGCGGCCGAUUAGGUAGUUGUUGGGGUAACGGCCCAACAAGCCAGUCAUCGGUACGGGUUGUGGGAGCAAGAGCCCGGAGAUGGAAUCUGAGACACGAUUCCAGGCCCUACGGGGCGCAGCAGGCGCGAAAACUUUACAAUGCAGGAAACUGUGAUAAGGGAACCCCGAGUGCUCGUACACGCGAGCUGUCCAGGUGUGUAAAAAGCAUCUGAAGAAAGGGCCGGGCAAGACCGGUGCCAGCCGCCGCGGUAAUACCGGCGGCUCGAGUGGUGGCCACUAUUAUUGGGCUUAAAGCGUUCGUAGCUGGACUCUUAAGUCUCCUGGGAAAUCCGCCGGCUCAACCGGCGGGCGUCCAGGAGAUACUGGGAGUCUUGGAACCGGAAGAGGUAAGAGUACUUCGGGGUAGGAGUGAAUCCUGUAAUCCUCGAGGGA